UUUUGUGUAGUACAUAUUUAAGCAAUUUAAAACUGUGGCAGAGGAAGACAGGUGUGACUUUAAGCCUACCACUAGGGUAGUGAGUUUGAGGUUAGCAUGGUCUACAGAGUUCCAGGACAGCAAGGACUAAGUAAACAGACCCUGUCUCAAAUAUAUACGUGUCAGAGGAAAACAAGUCAUUAGAAACAGACCCAGGACCAGAUCUCUAGAGACUGUGCUGUCACUGUAGCUGAGACCCUCUCUCUCUCAGUAGUUCUUUUCCAGCCUAGAAUCACAUGGGUGGAGCAGCUUUCUCUCAGCCUAUGUCCUAGUGCCACACGGGUUCCUCUACAUGCUUUCCAAGGAGCUAUGUUCCUGCAGCACACCUGAGUCUGGUGUGCAGCGGGGACACACGCCCUCACCUAAAUAAAGUCGACCCCUUCAUCUCUACUGCAGCCCGCUCAGGCACAGAUGUCAUCAGUUUCCAUGUUUUCCAGAGCUGUGGACACCAACAGGAAGCUGUGGCGGCAGCUUGUGUAAUUAGCAUGGAAUGUUCUGAGGCAGGCAGAGCACGUGGGGUAGUGACAAGUUCGCAAACAUGCUUUCUGUGGAAACGGCUCUGUUUUUUCCUCUUUCUACCCUUCUCAGGAGACGGAAAUAACAAACCCUGAGAGGAAAGCAGUCAUUCUGCAGGGCUCCACAUGUACAGAGCGGGCCUGCGGCCGAUGCAUGGACUCCAGGGCGGGCCUGCGGCCGAUGCAUGGACUCCGGGGCAUGCUCCCUGUUUGUCAUCACUCAGGCAGCGCAUCCCAGAGGUUGCCUCAGUGCCGUCCAGCUGGGGUCCACACAGUCAGCCCAGGUGCAGUGUGUCUGCCGAGGUGAGACACCGCUGGCACAGAGCCGGGCGAGCACAAGCCCCUCUCCUCAGGCCACCGAGCCAAGCCACGGCCACGGCCACGGCCAGAAGAUGCACCACCCAAUGCCACAGCUGCACUGGAGAUCUUCCUCAGUGUAAAUGCUGCUUUUAGAAAAAGCUGCUUUUAAGUGUACCUUUGGCCACUGCUCUGGCAGUGAAGGCCACACUGCCCCGCCCUCGUCAGUGGGCUUCCGAUGGCCAGGGAUGGAUGGUAUUUACCCUGGACCUCCUGUCUACACAUCAGCGAGUGACCUGCUGGGAAUGGAUGCAGUGGCAGCACACUGUCUUGACACUGUGAUCCAGCCAAGAGGCAGUUGUUUGCUAUUCAUCUGUGUUGCAGGAAAUACUAAAAAUACAAAACAAAAACAAAAAACCCGCCAACUCUCUGCCGGGCCAGAUCACGCUCCCGCGCUCCUGCCGCCAACAACUCUCUCCAGUUAGCCCCCGCAGCAUCUGGCUCAAGUGUCUAGGGAGCUCUAGUUCUUCCUCAGCCAUAAACCCAUGUAGUCCGUGAUCCCACUUUCCAGUAACUAAAUGGACUGCCAACCUGGAGGCUGCAGAUCACAAUACCCAGUAACCUGGAAGAAUCAUGACUCGUAAAGCUUAAUUAACCAAUCAGAUUUAUGUGUCAAUAAAACCACAAUUUACAAGAUGCCACAACAGUGAUUUCAGAGCCAUUUGAUAAUGAUAAAAGCUUUAACCGUGUGAAAUCACAGCUACUUGUGGCUGUUACAACCACGCCGGAUCAGGAUCUUCUUCCUGUCAGCCCACCUCCAUCUUGGCUUCUCCUUACUCUGAGAUUCUCUGUCUCUGCAACUCUCAGUUCCAGCUCCCUUUUCCCUGUCCAAUCACAGACCUCCUCUGAACUAAUGUAACUGACCAGGGAAAAUCCUGCAACACAUCUGUCCUGACAUCACAGUGAUGCCUCGCCACGCUCCCCACUUCAGAAGACCCGCUCCCAGGCCAGGAGAAGCUGGGCCGUCUGGCCACGCCCUGUCCACCUCAGGCUCCUCUGCUCCAUCCACACUGAAGCUCCUGAUGACUCUGCAUACGCCAUUCCCCCCAGGGUCUUAGCUGCUGUGCCCUCCUCCCUCCCCAUCCACACAACCACCUUUUAACCAAACCACAGCCCAAAGACCAAUUCCUUUGUGAGGUCUGCAAGGACCCCCUAUGCCACUCUGACCCAUGAGUUAUUAGACCACUGGGAACAGAGAUGGUGUCUUUCCAUACCUGAAUCCUUGCUGCCUAGCCCAGUGCCUGGCACAAGGCAGGGACCCAGACCACACUCACUGAAGUGAAGUAGUCCAGACAGAUAUACUUCCACCAGCAAACAGCAAGGGCUGAACUUGACUUUCCUGAGGAGGGUCUCUAUUGUGUGCACACAGCCAGGACUGCUGCCUGCAUCUGGCAACAGCUGGCACAAUGCCAUGAGCACCCACAACACAGUGCACGGCCUCGAGGCUGUGACUAGGAAGCAGCAUGCUAUCUUCAGAGUCCGUUGGGCCAUUUCCAGAGCCACCCAGGCCUGGCCACACACCGCCACACUGUACAUCCUCUGCCUAAUCAAUUCACAAUGCAGAAAUAACAAAGGGCCGCAGAGCCUCCAUUAACCUCCAGGUCACGAGGGGAAUAGUGAUGAGCGAACGCCUCAGAGGGCUGAGCAGAGCCCAGGGCUUUCUCCUCCUUUUCUUCCUUCCUUUCUUUCUUUUUUCUUUCAAGAAAUGUAUACAAUUUCUAUGUGCUUUAGGUAAAUAUUUAAAAACAUUAAUUAGUCCCAGAGACACUUUGUAUACUAUAGAUUUCAGUGUAAUCUGAGUAAAGUAUGGUGGUUAGAAAUGAAUCUCUGAUUAUCAUGUUUCCUGAAUAGAAAUGAGAACAUCUGGCCCUCUACUAAGAUAAACACACGAAAUUGGAAUACAUCAGAAACUAUGUCCUGCAUGUCUUAUUUUUUUCAACAGUUAGCAAAGAAUUGAUUUUAAAUUGUAUGUGUUUAAUGUCUACAGUGUGAUGACUUAUAUAUACGUAAAUGGUUAUCAAAGUUAAA